rnacentral:rRNA from 1 species
UACGUAGGUGGCAAGCGUUGUUCGGAAUUAUUGGGCGUAAAGAGCUUGUAGGCGGUUUGUCGCGUCUGCUGUGAAAAUCCGGGGCUCAACCCCGGACUUGCAGUGGGUACGGGCAGACUAGAGUGUGGUAGGGGAGACUGGAAUUCCUGGUGUAGCGGUGAAAUGCGCAGAUAUCAGGAGGAACACCGAUGGCGAAGGCAGGUCUCUGGGCCACUACUGACGCUGAGAAGCGAAAGCAUGGGGAGCGAACAGG